AUCCUGGCACAAAAGCUCAAUUAUCAUCCUGACACAAAAGCUUAGUUAUCAUCCUAGCACCAAAAGCCCAGUUAUCAUCCUGGCACAAAAGCCCAGUUAUCAUCCUGGCACCAAAGCCCAGUUAUCAUCCUGGCACAUAAGCCCAGUUUUCAACCUGGCAUCGAAGAGAAAUAUAUUCACGACGUUCAUACACCUUUUCAACAAAGUUCAUAAGGUAUGACGCACCUUCCACAAGUGUCACAGCUCUUCAACAAAAUCCACAAGGUUGCUACACCCUCUACCAGGUACUCUCCAAGGUAAUCUUUUUCCAUCUCUCUGGACCCGAACGAAAUUAGUGUCUUUAUCUUUAUUUAGCUUUUACUAUGAUAACACAAAAAACUCCAAAGUUCAUGUUAUCUAGCAAAAUCUAAAUAAAGAGGGGCAGCUGUCAACACCCAAUUUCGUCCGGGAAAGUAAAUAAUCAAGUUUAAAUUAUAAGAGAAUAAUAAUUAAUGGUGGGUAAAGAAAAAAAGGAAAAAGAAAAUAAUAAAAUAAUCUUUCUUAAUGCAGGACACGACACUUUAGAAUGUUUUUGAAUUAUUAGUUUAAUAUGGUAAUAAUUUGAAUUAUAUUGUCUGACAAUAAUUACAAUCAAUGUCUUGAAUAUU
rnacentral:lncRNA from 1 species